rnacentral:misc_RNA from 1 species
AAGUAAAUAGCCUUGGCUGUACGCAGUGGACAAGCACAAGUGGAAAAGAAAUGAAAGAGAAAUUAAGAAUUAAGAUCUGAAAAAAGAAAAUAAUGGACCAAAAGAUUAGAUGCCGAUUAAUUAUUCACCAAGGAUUGGGACUUCCUUCGCAAGAUGAGCUUAGAAGCUCUUCUAAAUACUCAGCUCCUAAAUCCUCCAAUACUACCACAUUUUUAGGCUUACUAUUUACCUCUUUCCCUUUACUUUUCUUGCUCGCCGACUUUCGUCUCAGGGAGUGCCUCCUCUUCAACGCCACCACCGGCGAACAGCCAUCCUCAAACCGAUACUUAAUGUCUUGAAGCGACUCUCUCACCAUAUCCACCGGAAAAUUGAGUAUAGCCAUCGAACCCCGCAUGGAAAAUGCUGCUUGGUCGUAGGCUAAAGCGGCUGCCUCUGCACUGUCAAAGGUGCCUAACCAAACCCUGAUGCCAUUUCUGGUGGAGUCCCUAAUCUCGGCGGCGUACUUCCCCCAUGGUCUCUUUCGUACUCCUCUGUAAGAUUUCUCGUUCUUGGGUGUGGAAACGGAAACCUCCUCUUCUUUGGAAGUAACUUCCUCUUCUUUAGUCCCGGUAGUGGAAUUGGAUUCCGACGAUUCUUUAUUUGGUUCUUGGGCUAGAACAUCGAAAAGAAGCAUUUCUUCAGAGUCGUUAGAAUCGAAAGGUAAGGAAUUUGGGUGGUAAAGAAACGGCUCUUCCCAAGAAAAUGACUCUAAAGAAUCGAAAGAGAGCUCUGGUUUGAGGUAUUGAUUGAAGAAAGAAGGUUCCAUCUGGGAAUUAAUGGACUUUUCUUGGUUCGUGGUUUUCUUUUGUUUUUGUGGUUCUUGGUUUUCUUGAAUCUUUGAUUAGUUGCCAGCAGCUUUGCG